GCACCCAUAAUCCUAAGAGCCAUCUCAUGACAUGGAGAAUUAAGAAACGCAUGGAGAAAUAAAGGAAGGAAUUAAGAGUUUGACAUGAAAUGGACUCUUCUAUUUCAUCAUACAAAAAAGUAGGCAUCCAAAAAUAAUUUUGGCAUGGAGUUCCUUCUUAGAGAAGGACUCCUUCUCCUCUUCCAUGCCCAUAUAUCCCAAGGCACCAUUUGAUGGCACACAAAAUUAAAGGACAUGUGGAAUAUGUAAGGAAAUUAAGAUAAGUAAACGAGAAGGACUCCUCUCCUUAAACACCCAAAAUAAAUGUGGCGUAACAAAUAUAUUAGCAUGUGGUUUUUGGCAUGGAGAUGAUUUAAUCCAUAUGGAACACUUUCAUAAAAUCCAGAUAAAUCAACUAAUAAAUUAGAUGGUUCAAACCUAAUCACAUUAGGUCAAGGCAACAAGUCUAGGUUAGCACAAACACCUUUGCACUGAACCCAAUUGAAAACUUGGGUUAAUUCAUGUGCUAGAAAUUCAAAUAACCCAUUGAAUUUAUAAUAAAUCCAAAUAGAUUGGACCAAGAUCAAAUUUCUAUUGUGUGUGACCCAUUGGGAUCCAAAUCUAGCCAGC
rnacentral:lncRNA from 1 species